CCGCAUGGUCCCUGGCAUACUGUUUGGCACACAUUGUGUGGUCCUGCUUCCUGGGUAUCCCGCAUGUUGACUCACAUGUAGAGUGAAUUGUGUUGAGGGCCGGUGAGAGUGUGGCCGCUUGGACGGUGGAGGGAUCGGUGUCCGGAGCUUCUCACCCCAGCUUCACAUCCCUUUAGUUGUGUGUGUGUGUGUGUGUGUGUGGUGAUAAU